rnacentral:rRNA from 1 species
UACAGAGGUCUCAAGCGUUGUUCGGAUUGCAUUGGGCGUAAAGGGUGCGUAGGCGGCGCGGUAAGUCGGGUGUGAAAUCUUGGAGCUUAACUCCGAAACUGCAUUCGAUACUGCCGUGCUUGAGGACUGGAGAGGAGACUGGAAUUUACGGUGUAGCGGUGAAAUGCGUAGAUAUCGUAAGGAAGACCAGUGGCGAAGGCGGGUCUCUGGACAGUUCCUGGACGGCUGAGGCACGAAGGUCAGGGGAGCAAACGGG